rnacentral:rRNA from 1 species
GGCUUAGAGUUUGAUCAUGGCUCAGGACGAACGCUGGCGGCGCGCCUAACACAUGCAAGUCGAACGAAGCUAUGUUGAAAGCUUGCUGGAUAUAUAGCUUAGUGGCGGACGGGUGAGUAACACGUGAGUAACCUGCCUCUCAGAGUGGAAUAACGUUUGGAAACGGACGCUAAUACCGCAUAACGUGAGAAGAGGGCAUCCUCUUUUUACCAAAGAUUUAUCGCUGAGAGAUGGGCUCGCGGCCGAUUAGGUAGUUGGUGAGAUAACAGCCCACCAAGCCGACGAUCGGUAGCCGGACUGAGAGGUUGAUCGGCCACAUUGGGACUGAGACACGGCCCAGACUCCUACGGGAGGCAGCAGUGGGGGAUAUUGCACAAUGGGGGAAACCCUGAUGCAGCGACGCCGCGUGAGGGAAGACGGUUUUCGGAUUGUAAACCUCUGUCUUUAGGGACGAAUAAAUGACGGUACCUAAGGAGGAAGCCACGGCUAACUACGUGCCAGCAGCCGCGGUAAUACGUAGGUGGCAAGCGUUGUCCGGAAUUACUGGGUGUAAAGGGAGCGUAGGCGGGGAGACAAGUUGAAUGUCUAAACUAUCGGCUUAACUGAUAGUCGCGUUCAAAACUAUCACUCUUGAGUGCAGUAGAGGCAGGCG